GUGGGAGCAUCAGUCUCACUCUGUGCCUUUUUUUUCCUUUUUUUUUUUUUUUUUUUUUUUUUUUUUUUUUUUUUUUUUUUUUUUUUUUUUUUUUUCCCAGUGAAAACAGCAUCUGUGUGCACAGAAGGGCAGGGUUCAGUUUUUGCUGUACUCUGUAAAAAUCAGGACAGGGAAGGAGUGGAUGGAAAUGGACACUGUACCACAGUCAGCCCAAGGAAUGUGUUGCCUCGGAGCUCUUGGAUCCGUGUCCUGGACCACUAUUCCCAUUUAAUUGGAAAAAGCUGCUUUUUGCAGCAGCUCAGGUAGCCUGGAGCAGAUCCCUGGGAGCCUCCACCGCAGGAGAGCUGCAAACACAGCCCUUGGAGCUGAGUCAGCUGCAAAGUCUGGGCAGCUGGGACACAUCCCGGGAGAUCAGUGGCCCUAAGGAUCGGGAUAAAACUCGGUGAAUGGCAGCAGAAGAGCUGGGAAUGCCAGCUGUGCUCGGCCACACGGGAGGGAGUUUCCGAGCAGGUUGCCAAGCAAGGAUCAGAAAUGGGGACUAACUUGUGUUUUGUAUCCAGUAGCGUAUUUUAUUCCCUUGCACAAUUUUAGGCUGGUUUAAAUGACUAAAUACUCCUGGCCUGACUUAACCAAGUCCAGCUCAGUAAGCUGGAAAAGCCAAAGGCAGAGCAAUGAGUGCUGGAACAGCUCAGGGAAGCAGCCGGUGACAGCAUCAGCUAACUCCUGACAGAUACAUUUUGUGAAACACGUUUGUAUCCAAGGUGUUCCUGGAUGUACACUGUGACCAUGAGAUACUGAGGGCUGUGGGAAAGUAUCUGCCACCAGGGCUGGGUUUUUGGGGACGAGCUUGGAGGAUUUCAGGGGGCCAAAAGCCUUGAAAGAGUUGGCCAGCUUGCAGUUUAGAAAGUGAUGGUUUUUGGCUUGUUUGAUUUGGAUUUACAAAAGUAUUAACAUUUCCUGUGCUUUUUUUAGUAGUUUCUGAGACGUUUAAAUGCUCUUCAGCUUUAUAGAGUAGUAAACAAUUGCACAGUAAUCAAUAGCCUGUUUUUUAAAUCCAGUUUUACUUCGCUUUUUAAACCUUUCUGACGAUAACCAGUUGUUCUUGCUUGCACUGCUUCUAAGGUUGUUGGUUUUGUAUCCCUUGACACCCUGCAAGUGCAUAAAAACUGUUUUUACCCCUUUUUGAC
rnacentral:lncRNA from 1 species